CAUCCUCUGCCGUGAUCGACAGCGCGCGCAAACAUUCGCCUUGUCCCUUAAUUACGACCGCGGAGACGCAACGGCGCCCGGGCGCGCAAGUCCGCCAUGCAGCGGAAAGCCCGAUGGGCGACAAGCGUUUCCACUUGAACCCCGGGUUCAAGGUCGUUUCGCGAGCAUCGUCAUGGCGGAGGAUGC
rnacentral:other from 1 species